rnacentral:rRNA from 1 species
CUGAGAGGAUGACCAGCCACACUGGAACUGAGACACGGUCCAGACUCCUACGGGAGGCAGCAGUGGGGAAUAUUGCACAAUGGGCGCAAGCCUGAUGCAGCCAUGCCGCGUGUAUGAAGAAGGCCUUCGGGUUGUAAAGUACUUUCAGCGGGGAGGAAGGGAGUAAAGUUAAUACCUUUGCUCAUUGACGUUACCCGCAGAAGAAGCACCGGCUAACUCCGUGCCAGCAGCCGCGGUAAUACGGAGGGUGCAAGCGUUAAUCGGAAUUACUGGGCGUAAAGCGCACGCAGGCGGUUUGUUAAGUCAGAUGUGAAAUCCCCGGGCUCAACCUGGGAACUGCAUCUGAUACUGGCAAGCUUGAGUCUCGUAGAGGGGGGUAGAAUUCCAGGUGUAGCGGUGAAAUGCGUAGAGAUCUGGAGGAAUACCG